rnacentral:rRNA from 1 species
AUUGAACGCUGGCGGCAGGCCUAACACAUGCAAGUCGAACGAAGCGGGGACGGGUGAGUAACACGUGGAUAACCUCCUAUAAGACUGGGAUAACUUCGGGAAACCGGAGCUAAACCGGAUAAUUAUAGAUGGAUCCGCGCUGCAUUAGCUAGUUGGUAAGGUAACGGCUUACCAAGGCAACGAUGCAUAGCCGACCUGAGAGGGUGGACGGCCACCCUGGGACUGAGACACCGUCCAGACUCCUACGGGAAGCAGCAGUAGGGGAUCAUCCGCAAUGGGCGAAAGCCUGACGGAGCAACGCCGCGUGAGUGAUGAAGGUCUUCGGAUCGUAAAACUCUGUUAUGAGGGAAGCGGUACCUAAUCAGAAAGCCACGGCUAACUACGUGCCAGCAGCCGCGGUAAUAC